GAUGAAGAACGUAGUGAAAUGCGAUACGUAAUGUGAAUUGCAGACGUCAGUGAAUCAUCGAAUCUUUGAACGCACCUUGCGCCCUUUGGCCAUUCCGAAGGGCAUGCCUGUUUGAGUAUCAUGAACACCUCAACUCUUCAUGGUUUUCCAUGAUGAGCUUGGACUUUGGGGGUCUUGCUGGCCUGUGGGUCGGCUCCUCUCAAAUGAAUCAGCUUGCCGGUUUUUGGUGGGCAUCACAGGUGUGAUAACUAUCUACGCUUGUGGUUUUCCACCAGGGUAACCUUCAGCAGUGGAGGUUCACUGGAGCUUACAAAUGUCUCUCCUCUGUGAGGACAGCCCUUUGAAUGUUUGAUCUCAAAUCAGGUAGGACUACCCGCUGAACUUAAGCAUAUCAAUAAGCGGAGGA
rnacentral:misc_RNA from 1 species